ACUAAAGAUACCACUUAACUCUGCCUCUCCAGCCACUUAUCAGUGUCCACAGACUCAGCGAGCAGCUCUGAGGACUGUCACGGCUUAUGUGAAAGGGCUGGCCCAGGAGGGCCACCGCCUCACUGAGGGGAGAACUCCAGGCUGGGGAGGCAGGGAGAGGAGCUUCAAGAAGCACAGACCGAGAUUGCUUUCUCUCAAGUCGGCCUGCCUGCCUACGUCAGGGCCUCUCAUUAAGCAUCCACUUGACGCCGCAGUGAAAUAGCACAGACCUGGCACCAGAAAGAACAAAUGUGGCACCCACUGCUCCUUUUAAGGCCUGACUCAGGAGCAGCAGGCCCCAGGGCAGGAGGUCCUCGUGAUGCUGUGAGCUGCCCACGCACAGACGCUGACUGCCAUGAUGCAAAACUGCCCAGACGACCAGCAGGACGCUGGGGGGCAGGUGGCCUCUAGGUCACAAGCUGGGCAGAGACCUCAACUCAUGACUCUGAACACUGAGGAGAGAGGAAGCCUCACCUUUGAAGCAACCUACACCUCUGAGCCAUUUGGCCCUCCUGCCUGCUCCACCGUGGACAAAGCUCUGACCAACCACUGCAGGUGUGUCAGCACCUCUUCCCCAGUGUUAGCACUUCUUGAACUAUCCAGGGGCCAUUGGUUUAAAGGUGAGAACAGUGAUGCUAUCAGGUGGCCUCUCGGCACCGCAGCCCUC